GACGUAGGGGGCAAGCGUUAUUCGGAAUUAUUGGGCGUAAAGCGCUCGUAGGCUGGACGACAAGUCCGUGUUGAAAGACCUCGGCUCAACUGAGGGACCGGCUCGGAUACUGUCGUUCUUGAGGCAAUCAGAGGGUGAUGGAAUUCCCGGUGUAGCGGUGAAAUGCGUAGAUAUCGGAAGGAACACCAGUGGCGAAGGCGAUCACCUGGGGUUGUUCUGACGCUGAGGAGCGAAAGCUAGGGGAGCAAACGGG
rnacentral:rRNA from 1 species